GACGAACGCUGGCGGCGUGCCUAAUACAUGCAAGUCGAACGAGAGCAACCGGUGCUUGCCCUGGUCAAUCUAGUGGCGAACGGGUGAGUAACACGUGGGUAACCUGCCCAUCAGAGGGGGAUAACAUCCGGCAACGGAUGCUAAAACCGCAUAGGUCUUCGAACCGCAUGGUUUGAAGAGGAAAAGAGGCGCAAGCUUCUGCUGACGGCUGGACCCGCGGUGCAUUAGCUAGUUGGUGAGGUAACGGCUCACCAAGGCCGUGAUGCAUAGCCGACCUGAGAGGUUGAUCGGCCACAUUGGGACUGAGACACGGCCCAAACUCCUACGGGAGGCAGCAGUAGGGAAUCUUCCGCAAUGGACGCAAGUCUGACGGAGCAACGCCGCGUGAGUGAAGAAGGUGUUCGGAUCGUAAAACUCUGUUGUUAGAGAAGAACAAGUGCUAGAGUAACUGUUAGCGCCUUGACGGUAUCUAACCAGAAAGCCACGGCUAACUACGUG
rnacentral:rRNA from 1 species